rnacentral:rRNA from 1 species
GACGAACGCUGGCGGCGUGCUUAACACAUGCAAGUCGAACGGAAAGGCCCUGCUUUUGUGGGGUGCUCGAGUGGCGAACGGGUGAGUAACACGUGAGUAACCUGCCCUUGACUUUGGGAUAACUUCAGGAAACUGGGGCUAAUACCGGAUAGGAGCUCCUGCUGCAUGGUGGGGGUUGGAAAGUUUCGGCGGUUGGGGAUAGACUCGCGGCUUAUCAGCUUGUUGGUGGGGUAGUGGCUUACCAAGGCUUUGACGGGUAGCCGGCCUGAGAGGGUGACCGGCCACAUUGGGACUGAGAUACGGCCCAGACCCCUACGGGAGGCAGCAGUGGGGAAUAUUGCACAAUGGGCGGAAGCCUGAUGCAGCAACGCCGCGUGCGGGAUGACGGCCUUCGGGUUGUAAACCGCUUUCGCCUGUGACGAAGCGUGAGUGACGGUAAUGGGUAAAGAAGCACCGGCUAACUACGUG